rnacentral:lncRNA from 1 species
CACUUCACAGGCUGGCAAUGGUUUUGCUUUGAAUACUUAUUUUUAUGGUGCACUGAAUAUUCAGGAAUAUGUUGUGACUUGUGACUAGUGGUAAAGAAAGCGUUCAUCUUUUGUGAUUGACUUCCUCGUGUCCAGGUUUUUCCAUCUGUGAAAGGAUACAUUUUCCUGCUUACAAGGAGCUUUGAGAUCUACACAGAGUCUCUCUGUAGGAAUGACACGUGAGAAUAUCCUCAUCACAACUCGAGUAAUUUAGUAAAUGCACAAUUCAGAACUUGUUUUACGUAUGAAUAAAACUUGUUGUUUAGCUGUUGGGUUUUUAAUUUUUGUGCUCCCUGCACACUUCUUUGGUAGAUCCAAAGCUCCUGGAGUUACCCAGCCUAUGUGGCAUCUAAGCCCUUGUAACAGCUGUUUUAAGAAACGGUCUGAUUCAGCCAGUAAGCAGCUCGGAGCUGAUAAGUGCAGCGGGGUUGGGCUUUUGAGGUCUGUUGCCUCAGAGGGUAACGACCACAGCUUCUUUGCUGGGGUGCUGGUGACCUGGGGGUUUUCCAGGUUUGUUUUCUGUUGGUUUUGCCCUUUUCCAGAUACAAAAGGGAAAAAAAUGAAGAUGCGUAAGGCAGUACUUAUGUUCAUUCUGUUCAUUACAGAACGUCUGCCAACUAUAGUGGCAGGAGUCAGCAUUUCCCUUGUGUUGAUUUUUAUUCUUGUAAUUACUGGUGUUUGGUGUGCACGAAGAAGAUCAAACGGAAGUUCAGCUGCAAUUAAUUGUAUUCCCUCUGGUGAACCUGGAGUGUCCUUAAAAAAAGUGUCAACACACGAGAACCAACACGAGUGGCCUUUUGAAAGAGCACUAUAAUGACAACUGGAGAGCUGUUGUGUGACCCUCUGGUCUGUGCACCUUUAUGGCAGAACCGCACACACCAUGGGACUUCGAGUCAGUAAUUUUCCCUUUUUUCAGUGAAUUUGGAAUAGCAGCUAACAAAAAAAAAAGAAUCCUGUUACCAAAAGAAUUUCAGUCAAAGGUCUUAAGUAAAAGAUUAAAACCAGGGAGGUUCUUCAAUGCCACCUAAGUGGAACAUGUUGCCUGUAGCGUAACAAAAGAAAGGCUUUUCUUAUGUCCUUUUCAGGAGGAAAAAAGAAAGGAAAAUCCUCUCAGUUGUAGCUAUUUGAACAGCACUCUUAAAGAGCUGUAUCUUCUAAAAAGUUAAAUUCUUGAAAUUAAAGAGAUCCUGGUUACAUAAAAUGGCAUGCUUAGGCUAUGUCUGUUUUAAUAAAUUAAACCUGCCCUGGAAUGUUGCUACUGUU